GCUUUCAUCACAAACUUAUACUUCCACCCAUCUGUUCACAAAGGAGAAAGGGAGAAGAGGCGGGCACAUGCAGUCGGCCAUCACCCUUUAUAUCUGCUCCUCCUCUUCCUCUGCUCUCUUUGUCCUGUACCUCUCUCCCCAUCGCCUCCUCCUCCUCCUCCUCUCCCUCCUCCAGCCCGUUUCUGCCCUCCUCUUCUCCUCCUUUCAUCUUCAGAUAGAGGCAGAUUGGAGCUCAGCUUCCUCUUAAGGCCCAGCAGGUGUGUGGUGUGUCUAAUUGCACAUGAGUGUGUGUGAGUGUGCUAAAUGUGCUUUAAAGUCCUGCACAUAAGAGCUUUUUUCCCUCUGAAGUCACAUCGUGCCUGCGUUUGUAACUACAGUAUGUUUGUUAGCUGUGUGUGUUUGUAUGUGUGUAUUGGAGAUAUCUUGUUUCCUCGAGGGAGUCCAGGCCCAUUUCCACUGUCUGCUGUAGCCAACCAACCCUGCAGUGCAUCGAUAAUCUAUUAGGCUAGAAACACACACACACACACACACACACACACACACACACCCACACACACACACACACACACACACAUUCCUCUUACCUGCCCCUGCUGAGCAUUCUCGGUGUGUACUGCCUGUUACUGGGUGGGCCAGAUAUUGCCUGAAAAGCAAGCAUACCACAAAUAGAAGAAUGAAUACACACAUGUAUCAGAGGCCUUGGCUAAUCUAUAUUGAAGGGAGUACAAUGCUUAAGAAGUAGACAAACAGCCAGACACUUCUAUUGCAUCACAUCCCUGUUGUGCAGACCUGCAUGUUCAAUGCAGCGAGCAAGAGGUUGUUGAAAAUUUCACCAUAAACCCAUGCGCACAAAAACAGUCUUUGGUGAAAGCUUUUCACAAGAGAUUGUGACCUUGCUGCUGUGACGACGACAUUAGACAACUCUUUCUUUAUGUACUUUGUAAACAGGAUCACACAAACUACAGCAAUUCAUUUAAUGUACUUUCUGCCACAUAUCUAAAAAAAUGAUGAAGCAAAAUCAUUCUAACGUCCAAAUCAGAACGAGUAUGUGUUGAUUGUGUCUUAAAUGUCAUGUACCAUGAAUGCAAAAAGCUUGCAGUGAAACAUUCAAAGACACUCAGGUAAUUGGAACACUUUUAUUAAAUGAGUGCGCUUGAAUGACACGUAUCACACGUCUACAAAAACACGUGAGUACAUAUCAAUCAAUCAUAGAGACAACAGCAGAAGCUAUGUAGAAGCACUAUCUGAUGUAAACCCCUUGUGCAUAUGAAAACAGACACUCUUGACCAACCAUGCAGUGGCAGUUAUUACAUACCACAUUGAACAAACACUCAUCAUAUCCUUAGACAUUCAGAGGCCCCCCCACACAUACACAAACGACUCACAAAUGCACACGCAAACAACACGCCACAGAGCCAGACAAAACACAUAAACAACAUACCAGCAUGAUGUAAGAAGGCGCAGUAUCAAAUACCACUGGAAUUAAAGCUAAAGCCUCCCCAAAGAUGCAGCUUGUUUACAAUAACACAGCCACGCACGGAUAGUGUAACCGCAGCUGAGAUACCCUGCUGCUGCCAAACUGUCUAUUUGUAGCCACGUUGAACACCACCAGGUUAUUUGUGCCAUAUACAGGGGCUCAAGUCAACAGGGAUUGUGGAAAUUAGUUUAAAUACCAUAUGAAAUUGUGUUUUGUUUUUUUUUGUUUACAAAAA
ensembl:lncRNA